AUGUUCAGGUUGUUGCGUCGUCAGCGUCGCUGAUUGGCUCUCGACACAAGGCGCCAUUUUAUGAAUCCCGCCGUUUUGCGGAUCGUCAGUCCAGAGGGAAGACGCCGGCAGGGAGCGGACCUUGGAGCUCCCUGGCUUAUUAUCCGCGGGUCUAGGACAGUAAAAACCCGCCGUCCUCUCUUCUUCCUCUUUCAGUGUCCACUUUUUUCUUUUGCUCUGUUUAUUUGGAUAAUUUUUGCUCUUUAACAACAAAUUUAAAGCCACCCUAACAGCAGGAGCAACACUUUAAGCAGGAAAACUGUGAAAAUGGCUCCCAAAAGACAAAAGACCGCA